UACACACCGCCCGUCAAGCCAUGGAAGCUGGGGGUACCCGAAACCGGUGUGCCUACUCCGACGCAAGUCGGGAGGCAGCCGACUAAGGUAAAACCAGUGACUGGGGCU
rnacentral:rRNA from 1 species